AUUUCCUGGAUACUUAAGCAGCCUUGUCUACUUGCUGGCAGCUUAGUUGAGGAAAAGGGUGGGGGUGGGUGCCUUCACUUUAAUUUCUUCUGGUCCAGCUGACAGGAUCAGCAGAAAACUAAUUGUGGUUUCCUGUUUCAGCUAGCUGGAGUUUUUAAUCAAGACAGCAGUUAAUGGUAUUUUGGAAGUUUACAAAAUAUAACUGCUGAGGCUCCAGCCUUGUGAACUGAGACUAGUGGGUCAUUGUCCUCUCUGGGAUGAGAAAGCUACUGUGGGACCACUUCGAACUGCUGAGGAACCAUCCUCAAGGACAAAACAACUAUGGGACACUUAGCCUCUUAAGGUGUGAUUUAAUGAGCUGCUUGAAACUGUCAGAAGGAUCUCAGUACUUCUAAGACACAAUGAGGUAACUCAGGAAAGCACCCUCAAGACUGGCGGAGGCCCACAGGCUCACCCACUCACAGGAAGAGCAACUGGCAUUCAUCAGUGAAGUAUUCCCAGCUCUGAACGGCCUACUUUCUGAAUCCUCCUGGUAACUGGAGACAGGUCAGGGCUGGGGGCAGCAGGACGAAGAUGAGGAGCUGUUUUUAAUUACUGCCACAAAUGCUUGGGAAAAAGAUAAACCUUAAGCCACCAAAGACCAUUAUUUCCUUAAAGUGUUUUCAUAAUAAAUGUGACUGAUCUUCAGAACAAUA